CCAGGCUGGCCUUGAACUCCUGACCUCAGGUGAUCCGCCUGCUUCGGCCUCCCAAAGUGUCGGGAUUACAGAUGUGAGCCACCGCGUCCAGCCUGUUGAGAGGUUUCUCCAGGACGUCACCUGUAUGAGGUACACAGUGUGAUGACACACUCUGUGCUUUUCCUACUUGUGUCCACGUGAGUGUCUGGAGCUGCCCUUCAAGGAGAGCAAUAGAUGAAUGAUUCUGCCUUCCCGCUGAGAGGGAUGUGGGUCCUGCGGAUGGUCGGGGUGAAGCUUCCUCUCCUUUCUGCUGACAGCACUUCCUCAUUAAAUGCAGAGAUCUGCAAAAAGGGAAAAUAAAAAC
rnacentral:lncRNA from 10 species